UACGGAGGGUGCAAGCGUUAUCCGGAUUCACUGGGUUUAAAGGGUGCGUAGGUGGGUUUGUAAGUCAGCGGUGAAAUCUCCGGGCUUAACUCGGAAACUGCCAUUGAUACUAUAGAUCUUGAAUUUUCUGGAGGUAAGCGGAAUAUGUCAUGUAGCGGUGAAAUGCUUAGAUAUGACAUAGAACACCAAUUGCGAAGGCGCUUGCUACAGGAAUAUUGACACUGAGGCACGAAAGCGUGGGGAGCAAACAGG
rnacentral:rRNA from 1 species